rnacentral:tRNA from 1 species
GGGCCUGUAGCUCAGUUGGUUAGAGCCGUCGACUCAUAAUCGACUGGUCGCCGGUUCGAGUCCGGCUAGGCCCACCA